UUUCCUCGUACCAGCACACCGUCAAUGUCGAAAAGAAACCCAAAGGAUGGCAGUACGUUCAGCUUCCCGCCGCUCCCCACGGCCGCCGCCGGGCCGCCGCGCCGCCCUCCGAACGCCGACAGCCGGGGAGGCCGCCCCGCCGCGCCGCUCCCGAGCAGCCCGCAGAGCGGCAGCGCCCGGCGCAUGGCGGAACUACCGGAGCGGCCGCG
rnacentral:lncRNA from 1 species